GAUGAACGCUGGCGGCGUGCCUAAUACAUGCAAGUCGGACGGAUGUAGCAAUACUGUCUUAGUGGCGAACGGGUGAGUAACGCGUUGGUGACCUGCCCCGAAGAGGGGGAUAACAGUCCGAAAGGAUUGCUAAUACCCCAUGUGGUCGUUUGGAUUAGAUGCCUUACGACUAAACGGAUUUAUUCGCUUCGGGAGGGGCCUGCGUCCCAUCAGCUAGUUGGUAGGGUAAUAGCCUACCAAGGCGAUGACGGGUAGGGGACCUGAGAGGGUGGCCCCCCACAAUGGAACUGAAACACGGUCCAUACACCUACGGGUGGCAGCAGUAGGGAAUAUUGGUAAUCUGGGAAACCGGGAACCAGCAACGCCGCGUGCGCGAUGAAGGCCUUCGGGUUGUAAAGCGCUUUUUAAAGGGAUGAGGAAGGACAGUACCUUUAGAAUAAGCCUCGGCUAACUACGUG
rnacentral:rRNA from 1 species